UUGUGGAGGAGGACGCCGAAGGUGGGGCUAAUGACUGGGGUGAAGUCGUAACAAGGUAGCCGUACCGGAAGGUGCGGCUGGAUCACCUCCUAACAGGGAGACAACAAAAUGUUAAAUAUUAAUUUUGUCACCUUAGGUCGAUCGGUAUCUCACAUUCUUAAUUUUUUAAGAAUUUUAUUUCCUAAGUUUUUUCUAGGUCACACCCAUUAUUUUCCUGGGCCAUUAGCUCAGGUGGAUAGAGCGCACCCCUGAUAAGGGUGAGGUCCCUGGUUCAAAUCCAGGAUGGCCCAUAUCUCUAUGUUGGGGGUAUAGCUCAGUUGGUAGAGCGCCUGCUUUGCAAGCAGGAUGUCAGCGGUUCGAGUCCGCUUACCUCCACUGAUUACCACCUCUUCCAUGAUUUAUAGAAGGGAAAAGUUUUUUGGUGUGAUCAAAUUCUGAACGAAGCUAGCUUCCUAAUUAUCUUUAUUAAGAUGCUGGACUCAUUGAAUUAAUUUCAUUGUUUUCAGAGAACCUUGACAACUGCAUAGAUUAUUUUAAAGACAAUAAGCAUCUUUAAUGAUGCAGAUUUAUUAUUUGUGCGAAUGCAUUAAUAACAAUUCUAUUGAGCUGAUGCUUCAAAUUUUGAAGUUAUUGGUCAAGCUACAA
rnacentral:misc_RNA from 1 species